ACCUACGGGGGGCAGCAGUGAGGAAUAUUGGUCAAUGGCCGAGAGGCUGAACCAGCCAAGUCGCGUGAGGGAAGACGGCCCUACGGGUUGUAAACCUCUUUUGUCGGGGAGCAAAGCGAGUCACGUGUGACUCAUUGAGAGUACCCGAAGAAAAAGCAUCGGCUAACUACGUGCCAGCAGCCGCGGUAAUACGUAGGUGGCGAGCGUUAUCCGGAUUUACUGGGUGUAAAGGGCGUGUAGGCGGGAGUGCAAGUCAGAUGUGAAAACUAUGGGCUCAACCCAUAGCCUGCAUUUGAAACUGUACU
rnacentral:rRNA from 1 species